UUUGGAAGAGAGGAAUCAUAGGCUCUCUCUCUCUCUAGAUAUAGAAGACGAUUGUCUCUUAAAAAGUGAUUGGAACCCUAACCCUUAAAGGGUAUUUAUAGUGUUUCCUUACUAGGCUUAAAUGACUUGAGCCCACUAAGGCUUAGGUUACUUAAUCUUGUCUAAAAUGGGUCCUAAUUGAUUAAUUAACCAUACAUUAUCAUCUAAUUAACCAAUUCAUGUCAAUGAGAUAAUAAAGAGAAAACAAAAAAUAUAAAUAAAUAAAUUUGUAAAUAAAUCUAUAUCGUUACAUCAUGUCAUUCUUUUUAGGGCUCAAUUCUAAUAGGUUACACAUUAGAUAGGAUUUAUGGUGAGUUAGACAUUGGUCAUUAGGUAGUCUUGACUUCACCAAGCUACUAUGUUGUAUAAGCUCUCAACCUUGAGAGAAUAUUGAUCUAGUGCUAAGGUCUUCAAUGGCUUUGACCCAUGAGUGAGACCCUAAAGUGCUCAUAUAUUCUCUAUAGAUUAGGUCACUAUGAUUGAGCCAUGCGAUAAUAGGUAUUCUCAAGAUAAGCACCAUGAUAUUUUAGGGGUUUGAGACAUUAUGUCCCCUUAAGUGAUCCUAAGGACAUGUGAUCAUGAAAAUUGUGGCCACAAUAAUUCCUUAAGUGGAAUUUGAUGUAUUCUCUUUGAGAGAUAUAGUAUGUCAAUUGAUAACAUAAUAGGAGGAUCUAAGACUUAAGGAUUGUAGAGGUAGUCUUGAGAGGUUGAUAACAUUCAUCUUGUUAAAUUAUGAAUACCAAUUCAUGGGGAGCUUGCAUGCAAUUGUUAGUAGGUCACAGACUGAAGUUUUCUAUCUCAAUCUAAUAUCAUAAGGAUACUAAAGUGUAGUUGACUCUUUAUAGUUAGAUUUUGAGUCAACUUUAAAAUUUGAUUUUAAGGGAGCCAGUACUUCCCUACAGGUCCUAGUGGUUCCCACUCAAACUCAUAUUCCUUGGUAAAAAAAUUAUUUGAGGAAUAGUUGAAUUCUUUAUUUAUAUAUGUAUAAGAGCAUUUUGGUAAAUACAGAAGGUUGCAAUAGUACAUAUAAAUAGUCUUUUUAGAUUCAGAUAAUUAAUUAAUUGGAACUCAAUAGAGCAAAUUAGUUAAUUAGGACCUAAUGAGUUAGAUUAAGUAACCCAAACGUAAGAUGAGUUCAAGUCACUCGAGCUAAGAGGUAAGCCUAUAUAAACUCCUUAAAGGGUUUAAGGCUUAGUACUUUUCAUCCAUUCAAUCUUCUAUCUUAAUAUCUAUCCCCACAGAGAGGACUCCAACAUCCUUAUGUGUUAGGAUACAGGAAAGAGAGCUAUCAGGAAAAAGAUCAUGAGGUAUUUUAGAUCUAAAUUAACCUUUUCACCAAUUAGAUUUAAUUUUUUGAGCACUUAAAUCUAAUAUUCAGUGUUUUGAAUUCUCCCAUUACAUAGUUCUAGCAUUU
rnacentral:lncRNA from 1 species